rnacentral:rRNA from 1 species
GAUGAACGCUGGCGGCGUGCCUAAUACAUGCAAGUCGAGCGAACGGACGAGAAGCUUGCUUCUCUGAUGUUAGCGGCGGACGGGUAAGUAACACGUGGAUAACCUACCUAUAAGACUGGGAUAACUUCGGGAAACCGGAGCUAAUACCGGAUAAUAUUUUGAACCGCAUGGUUCAAAAGUGAAAGACGGUCUUGCUGUCACUUAUAGAUGGAUCCGCGCUGCAUUAGCUAGUUGGUAAGGUAACGGCUUACCAAGGCAACGAUGCAUAGCCGACCUGAGAGGGUGAUCGGCCACACUGGAACUGAGACACGGUCCAGACUCCUACGGGAGGCAGCAGUAGGGAAUCUUCCGCAAUGGGCGAAAGCCUGACGGAGCAACGCCGCGUGAGUGAUGAAGGUCUUCGGAUUGUAAAACUCUGUUAUUAGGGAAGAACAUAUGUGUAAGUAACUGUGCACAUCUUGACGGUACCUAAUCAGAAAGCCACGGCUAACUACGUGCCAGCAGCCGCGGUAAUACGUAGGUGGCAAGCGUUAUCCGGAAUUAUUGGGCGUAAAGCGCGCGUAGGCGGUUUUUUAAGUCUGAUGUGAAAGCCCACGGCUCAACCGUGGAGGGUCAUUGGAAACUGGAAAACUUGAGUGCAGAAGAGGAAAGUGGAAUUCCAUGUGUAGCGGUGAAAUGCGCAGAGAUAUGGAGGAACACCAGUGGCGAAGGCGACUUUCUGGUCUGUAACUGACGCUGAUGUGCGAAAGCGUGGGGAUCAAACAGGAUUAGAUACCCUGGUAGUCCACGCCGUAAACGAUGAGUGCUAAGUGUUAGGGGGUUUCCGCCCCUUAGUGCCGCAGCUAACGCAUUAAGCACUCCGCCUGGGGAGUACGACCGCAAGGUUGAAACUCAAAGGAAUUGACGGGAACCCGCACAAGCGGUGGAGCAUGUGGUUUAAUUCGAAGCAACGCGAAGAACCUUACCAAAUCUUGACAUCCUUUGACAACUCUAGAGAUAGAGCUUUCCCCUUCGGGGGACAAAGUGACAGGUGGUGCAUGGUUGUCGUCAGCUCGUGUCGUGAGAUGUUGGGUUAAGUCCCGCAACGAGCGCAACCCUUAAGCUUAGUUGCCAUCAUUAAGUUGGGCACUCUAAGUUGACUGCCGGUGACAAACCGGAGGAAGGUGGGGAUGACGUCAAAUCAUCAUGCCCCUUAUGAUUUGGGCUACACACGUGCUACAAUGGACAAUACAAAGGGCAGCGAAACCGUGAGGUCAAGCAAAUCCCAUAAAGUUGUUCUCAGUUCGGAUUGUAGUCUGCAACUCGACUACAUGAAGCUGGAAUCGCUAGUAAUCGUAGAUCAGCAUGCUACGGUGAAUACGUUCCCGGGUCU